rnacentral:rRNA from 1 species
GACGAACGCUGGCGGCGUGCUUAACACAUGCAAGUCGAACGGAAAGGCCCUGCUUUUGUGGGGUGCUCGAGUGGCGAACGGGUGAGUAACACGUGAGUAACCUGCCCUUGACUUUGGGAUAACUUCAGGAAACUGGGGCUAAUACCGGAUAGGAGCUCCUGCUGCAUGGUGGGGGUUGGAAAGUUUCGGCGGUUGGGGAUGGACUCGCGGCUUAUCAGCUUGUUGGUGGGGUAGUGGCUUACCAAGGCUUUGACGGGUAGCCGGCCUGAGAGGGUGACCGGCCACAUUGGGACUGAGAGACGGCCCAGACUCCUACGGGAGGCAGCAGUGGGGAAUAUUGCACAAUGGGCGGAAGCCUGAUGCAGCAACGCCGCGUGCGGGAUGACGGCCUUCGGGUUGUAAACCGCUUUCGCUUGUGACGAAGCGUGAGUGACGGUAAUGGGUAAAGAAGCACCGGCUAACUACGUG